rnacentral:rRNA from 1 species
AAUAGAUACCCCGGUAGUCCACGCCGUAAACGAUGAGUGCUAAGUGUUAGAGGGCUUCCACCCUUUAGUGCUGCAGCUAACGCAUUAAGCACUCCGCCUGGGGAGUACGGCCGCAAGGCUGAAACUCAAAGGAAUUGACGGGGGCCCGCACAAGCGGUGGAGCAUGUGGUUUAAUUCGAAGCAACGCGAAGAACCUUACCAGGUCUUGACAUCCUUCGCUACCUCUAGAGAUAGAGGGUUCCCCUUCGGGGGACGGAGUGACAGGUGGUGCAUGGUUGCCGUCAGCUCGUGUCGUGAGAUGUUGGGUUAAGUCCCGCAACGAGCGCAACCCUUGAUCUUAGUUGCCAGCAUUCAGUUGGGCACUCUAAGGUGACUGCCGGUGACAAACCGGAGGAAGGUGGGGGAUGACGUCAAAUCAUCAUGCCCCUUAUGACCUGGGCUACACACGUGCUACAAUGGAUGGUACAAAGAGCUGCGAACCCGCGAGGGUAAGCGAAUCUCAUAAAGCCAUUCUCAGUUCGGAUUGUAGG